rnacentral:rRNA from 1 species
UAAUCGAGGACUGCCGGUGACGAAACCGGAGGAAGGUGGGGAUGACGUCAAGUCCUCAUUGGCCCUUAUGGUAGGGCUUCACACGUCAUCAAUGGUCGGGACAGAGGGUUGCCAACCCGCGAGGGGGAGCCAAUCUCAGAACCCGAUCGUAGUCCGGAUUGCAGGCUGCAACUCGCCUGCAUGAAGUCGGAAUCGCUAGUAAUCGCGGAUCAGCAUGCCGCGGUGAAUACGUUCCCGGGUCUU